UCUCUCGUAGCUUAGUGGUCAGAGCAUUAGUUAGUAAAGCCAAAGGUCCCGGGGUUCGAUUCCCGGCGGGGGUG
rnacentral:tRNA from 1 species